AAGGAAUAUUGGUCAAUGGACGCAAGUCUGAACCAGCCAUGCCGCGUGAAGGAUGAAGGUCCUCUGGAUUGUAAGCUUCUUUUAUCUGGGACGAAAACGGGAUUUUUAUCUCAAUUGACGGUACCAGAGGAAUAAGCACCGGCUAACUCCGUGCCAGCAGCCGCGGUAAUACGGAGGGUGCGAGCGUUAUCCGGAUUUACUGGGUUUAAAGGGUGCGUAGGUGGGCUUAUAAGUCAGUGGUGAAAUCUCCGAGCUUAACUUGGAAACUGCCGUUGNGACUAUAGGUCUUGAAUUAUCUGGAGGUAAGCGGAAUAUGUCAUGUAGCGGUGAAAUGCUUAGAUAUGACAUAGAACACCAAUUGCGAAGGCAGCUUACUACAUAUAAAUUGACGCUGAGGCACGAAAGCGUGGGGAUCAAACA
rnacentral:rRNA from 1 species